rnacentral:rRNA from 1 species
GACGAACGCUGGCGGCGUGCUUAACACAUGCAAGUCGAACGGAAAGGCCCUGCUUUUGUGGGGUGCUCGAGUGGCGAACGGGUGAGUAACACGCGAGUAACCUGCCCCUGACUUUGGGAUAACUUCAGGAAACUGGGGCUAAUAUCCGAUAGGAGCUCCUGCAGCAUGGGGGGGGAUGGUAAGAUUCGGCGGUGGGGGAUGUACUCGCUGCUUAUCAGCUUGUUGGGGGGGUAGUGGCUUACCAAGGCUUUGACGGGUAGCCGGCCUGAGAGGGUGACCGGCCACAUUAGGACUGCGGUACGGCCCAGAAUGCUACGGUAGGCAGCAGUGGGAAGUCUUGCACAAUGAGCGGAAGCCUGAUGCAGCAACGCCGCGUGCGGAAUAACGGGCUUCGGGUUGUAAACCGCUUUCGACUGUGACGAAGCGUGAGUGACGGUAAUGGAUAAAGAAGCACCGGCUAACUACGUG